GGGCGCUGGCGCGCGGCAUCCGGGGGCGGAGCCGGCGCGGCCCGGCCAGACCGACGGGCGCGGGCCGCCGGGCCGCAAUGGGCGAGGGCGGGCUCCCCCCGGCCUUCCAGCUGCUGCUGCGCGCCUGCGACCAGGGCGACACGGAGACGGCGCGGCGGCUGCUGGAGGCCGGGGCGGCGGAGCCAGCGGAGCGCGGCGCGGAGCCCGAGGCGGGCGCGGAGCCGGCGGGGGCCGAGGCGGCCGGGCCCGGGGCGGCGGCAGCGGCGGCCGGAGCGCCAGUGCCCGUGGACUGCUCGGACGAGGCGGGCAACACGGCGUUGCAGUUCGCCGCGGCCGGCGGCUACGAGCCGCUGGUGCGCUUCUUGCUGCGCCGCGGCGCCUCGGUCAACAGCCGCAACCACUACGGCUGGAGCGCGCUCAUGCAGGCAGCCAGAUUUGGGCACGUGAGCGUGGCACACCUACUUUUGGAUCAUGGGGCUGAUGUCAACGCCCAGAACCGGCUAGGGGCCAGUGUGCUCACUGUAGCCUCUCGGGGUGGCCACCUGGGUGUGGUGAAGCUGCUCUUGGAAGCUGGUGCCUUUGUAGACCAUCACAACCCCUCAGGCGAGCAGCCGGGGGCAGGGGACAGCAGGGACGAACUAUUGGACAUCACAGCCCUAAUGGCUGCCAUCCAGCACGGGCAUGAGGCCGUGGUGCGUCUGCUGAUGGAGUGGGGUGCAGACCCCAACCACGUGGCCCGAACUGUGGGCUGGAGCCCACUGAUGCUGUCGGCGCUCAUCGGGAGGCUUGGCAUGGCCCAGCAGCUGGUAGAGAAGGGGGCCAACCCUGACCACCUCAGCGUGCUGGAGAAGACCGCCUUCGAGGUUGCACUUGACCGCAAGCACAGGGACCUUGCAGACUACCUGGACCCGCUGACCACGGUCAGGCCCAAGACAGAUGAGGAGAAAAGGCGGCCUGAUAUUUUCCAUGCAUUGAAAAUGGGAAACUUCCAGCUGGUCAAAGAGAUUGCGGACGAAGACCCCAACUACGUGAACCUGGUCAACGGGGAUGGGGCCACUCCGCUGAUGCUGGCAGCUGUCAUGGGGCAGCUGCCGCUGGUGCAGCUGCUGCUAGAGAGGCACGCUGACGUCGACAAGCAGGACAGCGUGCACGGCUGGACGGCCCUCAUGCAGGCCACCUACCAUGGGAAUAAGGACAUUGUCAAAUAUCUGCUAAACCAAGGGGCUGAUGUCACUCUUCGUGCAAAAAACGGGUACACGGCCUUUGACCUAGUGAUGCUGCUGAGUGAUCCUGACACGGAACUUGUUCGACUGCUGGCAUCUGUCUGCAUGCAGGUGAAUAAAGACAAAGGCCGGCCCAGCCACCCACCGCCUCUGCCCCACUCGAAGGCCCGACAGCCCUGGAGUGUCCCAGUGCUGCCUGAUGACAAAGGCGGGCUUAAGUCCUGGUGGAGCCGAAUGUCCAAUCGGUUCCGGAAGCUCAAACUGACACAGACCCUGCCCCGUGGGCUCUGCAGCAACCAGCCUUUGCCUUUCUGUGAUGAGCCAGAGUCAGCGCUGGACUCCACAAUGCGGGCUGCCCCCCAGGGCAAGACAGGCUGCCCGGGGCUUCAUGAGGUGGCCCCCACAAUGAAAGAGAAUGGUCCUGGGAGCAUGAGAGGAGACAAAGAAGAUGUGUUAUUGACAACCAUGCUUCGCAAUGGAGCCCCCUUCCCCAGACUCCCGAGUGACAAGCUGAAGGCAGUCAUCCCCCCUUUCUUACCCCCUUCCAGUUUUGAGCUGUGGAGCUCGGAUCGGUCCCGGACAUGUCACAGUGGGAAGGCUGAGCCCGUGAAGACCGUCCUGCCCCAGAGAGCCAGCAGGGGCGCCCCCGUGGGCGUGGCUGGUGGGAGCACAGACGCUACUCCUGUGAGGCCCGUUAAAUUUCCAUCUCUCUCCAGAAGCCCCGCCUCUCCUGCCAGUUCUGGAAACUUCAACCACUCACCUCAUUCCUCAAGCAGCUCCAGUGGGGUAGGGGGCUCAAGCAGGCACGGUGGGGAGCUGCAUAACCGCUCAGGUGGUAGCAUAGACAGUGUCCUGUCACAAAUUGCUGCCCAGAGGAAGAAAGCAGCCGGAUUAUCGGAGCAGAAGCCCAGCCACCAGUCAAGUCCCCUUGGGCCAGCACCAGGGUCCAGCUCGUCGGAACUCCCAGUCUCCCCUGCAGGCGGUGGCGGUCCCGGUGGCAAGAAACUGGAGACGAGCAAAAGGCCUCCGUCUGGAACUUCCACUACCUCCAAGAGCACCUCCCCUACGCUCACACCCUCCCCUUCACCCAAAGGGCACACAGCUGAGUCCUCGGUGUCCUCCUCUUCGUCCCAUCGGCAGUCCAGGAGCAGUGGGGGCUCCAGCAGUGGCACCAUCACAGAUGAGGAUGAACUGACUGGAAUCCUUAAGAAAUUAUCACUUGAGAAAUAUCAGCCCAUUUUUGAGGAGCAAGAGGUGGACAUGGAAGCAUUCCUCACGCUCACCGACGGCGACUUGAAGGAGCUGGGUAUUAAGACAGAUGGAUCCAGGCAGCAGAUUUUGGCAGCGAUUUCUGAACUGAAUGCAGGCAAGGGACCGUGGUCAAGAGUCUGUGUCAGGACCCUCCGAGAGAAUGCCCACCAAGCCACCUGGAGCCCCAGGCUGGCCAAGAGGCCUGUGGGUGCUGGCAGCCUUCCUCAGAGCCCCGAGAUCAGGUGUAGCUUUCACCAGAGCCCCAUGGGGGUUCCAGGAUACAGAGCCCAGGACUGGGGGCCCAGGGAGCCCUUCUCCUUGAUGGACAUCUCCCAACUGAGAAAACCCUCCAAAUGGGCUCCUGCUGAUACUCUCGGUACCAUUAUAAUUACCCAUCUCAUAGAUGAAGAAAACGAGGCACAGAGAAGUCAAGUAACUUGUUGAGGGAUGCCACACCUUGAUCCCCAAUAUAGGUAUGGAAUUGACUACUUAGAAGCCAGAGCAAGUAAAUGGUCUGCAGGGCAGGGCAUUCAUAUUUAUCCUUCUGUAGCUGACCCCACAUGAGGUUCAAAGUCAUAAAACCUGGGUUUGAGUCCGGCUGACACUACUUCGGGCUGAGAGGGCAGAUCAGCUCAUCUCUGAGGCCUUGGUUUUCCCGUCUGUGAAAUGGAGAGAACAGCAAACUCUGUCCGGUGAGGGUGCGGUGGGGAGUAAGUGAGAUAAUAAAUACUGGAGUGUGUUGUAAACUGUAAAGUGCUGUGCACAUGCUACUUAGUGGCUUUAUUCUCCAGGGGCCCUGGCACAAUGGUGGAAGAGGAAGAAGCUUGGAGACCAGGGAAGUUGCAGUAGGUGGAACUUCAGGGUUGUCAUGGGAACCAAAGCUCUGAGGCUGAUCAAGGCAGGAAAUACCAUCUGGUUUUAAACACCAAAAAGCCUCGACUCACACUGGACUUAUUUCUGUAAACAGCAGAAUUAACAUCAUCCUGUAGCAGUAACGUCAGCCCAGAGCAAUCUAGAGAUUAUCUUCCUGCUGAUUUCCCUGGUCAGAUCCAGACAAAGCACCUGAGGUACUCCUUAUCCAUUAGCUGUCACUUCCCCCCCCCCCAAAAAUGCGGACAAGUCACUUAGUAAAUCUGAGCUUAAGUGGAAAGAAAAUAUGCUGGGAGACCCUUUCCCAUCCCUCCUAGGCUUUGCAAGCCCGGAGGGAAGGCUGGAGUUGGUGUCCAGGGACAGAGAUGGGAGGGCUCGGAAGGCAGAGGUGACACUGGAAGAGUGCUUAGAGAGCAUCUCACCUUUCCUCCAAAUUAUGAGAGAGAAAACAGGCCCAGAAUGGGAUGGCGCCUGCCCAAGGUCACACAGCAAAUCGGUGAUAAAACUGGCAUUUGAAUCUAAGCCUCCCAACUCUCAAGUCCCCUUCUUUCCUCUCUGGGGAUCUCUGCUCCUUUGGUAUCUGCUCCAGCAUUGUCACGUUGCUCUCCGGGAAACACGAGACUUGGGAUUUCUCUGGUUCCCCACGGGCUCUGCAAGAUGAAAAGCAGAAUGUUUCUUGAGUCCUGCACCUCCCAGGGAUUUGACUCAGGAAGCCAUCAUUUCUUUGUUGUUUUCUUAGGAGCAACAAGGUUUCUGCAAACCACAUGAGCCCAAAUGAAUCAGGAUGCAAUUUUAAAAACGAGAGGGUGAUGCCUUUGAGUUUUCAAACUCUAGAGGAAAAUCCCACUUUCAUGGCAGCUCCAGAUUCAGCAGAGGUUUUCCAGGGAUGAACACUUUUCUCACGGGGGCCACUAGGAAUCAUUUGAGUUUCCUGAGAGGGGCCCAGUUUGGAAACCGAUUUUGUUGCACCAUCUUUCCUUCAUAUUCUGCCUUGCUAUUUGCAACUGUGGUGUUGUUUGUGAAGACAAUGUCUAGUGUGUUUUCGGGGAAGUUGACACCCGGAAAACAAAGCCUUCUUUAGUGAUGAAUACUCAGCCUGGGUACAGAGCAGAGAACAUCUCCUGAUGCAACAGCUCAAAACUGGGCCACAGAGAGAGAACCUGGAGAAAAGACCAAGUUUCUUCCCCUCUCUCUGCAUUUGUACAUUUAGAGAAUUACAGCACAGCAAACUGGGGUGGGGGGGCAUGACCUGCCCAAGGUGAUAGCGCUGGUAAAUUGUGGAUUUGACUACAUCAAAAUUAAAGAUUUAUUUAUUAUUAUUUAUUUUAUUUUAUUUUUUACAGAUUUUAAUUAUUUAUUUGUCAGAGAGAGAGUACAAGCAGGGGGAAUGGCAGGCAGAAGGAGAAGCAGGCUCCCUGCUGAGCAAGGAGCCCGAUGCGGGACUUGAUCCCAGGACCCUGGGAUCAUGACCUGAGCAGAAGGCAGAUGCUUAACCGGGUGAACCACCCAGGUGCCCCUCAAGAUUUCUUUUUAGAUGAAGGUCACAAAGUUAACAGAUAGGGAGGAGAUGUUUUCAGUGCCUAAAUCUGAUAAGGGAUUCCUAAGGGGUUAAUAGCUAGAUUAUACAAGAACUAUUUGCAAACCGGGAACAGGCCAUUUCACAUAAGUAGAAACUAGUUUAAGUAUAUGCAGAGAUGCUCAACCUCACCAGUCAUUGAGAAAAAUGCAAAUUGCAACAGCAAGAUUCCAUUUCAUACCCAUCAUUUAAAAAAUUCAAAGGUUGGAUAACGCUAAGUGCUGUGAAGGAUGCGGGCCGUGGAAACAUCUGGAGAGCAGUCUGGCAGAUUUUCGUGACGUUGGGUCUGUCCCUGCUGCGGAGCCAGCCCCGGGCUGUGUGUCCCUGAGGUGCGUGUCUCUUGUCCUCUCCUGCUAGGCUCUGUAUUGUGGGGGCCUGGUCCCUUCAGGGUGCGUUUCCCAGGUUCCCGUCAGCUGACUUGCAGUGGGAGGCACUGACAGGAAGUUGGAGGAUGGAAAGAAGGGAGAAGCCAGGGCAUCUCUCUUCCUCCUCUUGACCUCAGGUGGCAUCUGCAAGGGGCAGCUGUGCCUCCUCCAAGGGGCCAGGACAGGUGAGUGAUGACUCCAGCUUUGCCAGGUAAGCCCACCUCUCUCUGACGCGCCGGUAGCACUUCCCUGCUGUUGCUAACUUCUGAGUGCCACCCCCCCCCAUAGCUUCUCAGCCCUUUCAUUCCCCGAGUAACCAGUUCCCCGCAUGCAAGUCCCCGUGUCAUACACACUCAAGCAGUUUCUGUUUCCUCGUUAGUCUGAUUCCCAUCCCUAGAAUUCAGGCAGGCCCAAAUCCUAGGUGUGCAGCUUAGAGCGACUCUCCUGCAGGUGCACAAGGACAGAUGUCCAAGAACAUCUACAGUGUGUGGGAAAAUGGAAAGGGGGGGGGCGUGACCACCCAUAGCCAGAGGAACGGAUAUUGUAUGAGGAUGAGUAACAUGUGACAUGUAAGCACAUUGGAGGAGUGACCAUGUUGGGGGCUGGGGGAAGAGUGGGGGUCAGGGAUGAAGGGAAAAACCAAGCAGGAGAAGGACGCUGCAUGGAAUGAAUGAUGAGUGUGCCUUAAGCCAGGGAGGUGGUUAAUGUGACCUCUGCAAAUGAGGGUGAAACAUGUACAGUAUGCCUUGAAAAGGUGAGCGCCACAAGAAUAGGAUCAUACAGACAGAAUAACGUGUGAAAACGAGCAGAGGCCUAAACAUGGCCUAUCUGGGGGGGCAGCCGGAGGGCCCGUGGCUGGGGCACGGGCCCGUGGUCAGUGCUGUGCCCGCCAGAGUCACGGAAUGUCAGCUCUGCCCAAGAGAUCUUGAUCGGUUCAGCCUCUCAUGCUUAUGGCUCGGCAAACAGGGCCAGAGGGGGCCAGGGAUGCCCAAGGUCACGCUGCGGCAAAGCUCAUCUGGAGGCCAGGUUUCCCGACCCCUUCUGGGGAAUUUGCUCUUGUUUCCUACUGAGUUCUCCACUCUGUGUCAGGCACUGCCCUCAGGGGGUGCACUCGUGGGAGCGGGACGGACCCAGAGUCAAACAGCUCUGCUGUGUGGAGUGCAGGGGCCACGGUAUGCUGAAGUCCUCUCCCCUUGAAUCUGGGCUAGGUCUGUGACUUGUUUUCCUAUGGAACGUGAUGGAGGUGACAUUGUCCCUGUUCUGGGCCUAAACCUUAAGAAAGCUGGGGGUUUCUGCUUCUGUGCUCCCAGCGCCCUUCACGGACACACAGAAGCUGGCUGCCCUGCUGGAGAGACCUCAUGCAGAGAGAGCAUGUACAGAGGCCAUGUGGACAGGGAGAGGCUCCAAGAUGAACUGGAGAGACAGAGAAUCCCAAAUGUGCCAGCCUCCUCAGCUGAGCCCAACCUCCGGCCAGCCUGCCAACUGAAUGCAGCCCCAUGAGUGACCACCAGCAGGACCGGCAGAACUGCCCAGCUGAGCCCAGCUCAGAUGCUAGUCAUAAGCAACAUGCUUGCUAUUCUGAGCCAGAGUCUUGGAGUGGUUUGUUCUGUCAGUAACACAACAGGCACUCUGUCAAGUGCACAGUGAGAAAAAGAAUGAGGACAGGGUACAUGGAGGGCCAGAAGGAGUGACAAUGAAUCUGACCGGGAGGAUUGGGAGAGCUGAGCAGGGCAACAGGAGAAAUGAUAGAAAGUGAAGACGAAUCUUGGGCGUCACGAGUGCGUUUCAACAGAUGCUCUCCAAGGACCUCCCAGGCCCUGGGCAGGGCUAAGGAGGAGGCAGAGAAAGAUGGCCGCAGCCUGGUGGGAGAGGCAGUCUUGAGCACCAGCAGGGAGAGUGCGAGGUUGGACCUGCUCGGUGCCCAGCAGGAGGUGAGGGACAAGGGCUGAGCGUGCAGAAGGCAGGGGGGUCGUCCCCUUGCAGGGACAACCAGGGAAGACUUUACGGAGGAGGUGGAAUUUAAUGUGGGGCCUGAAAACCAGGUGCAGUUUAGAGCUGGAGAGAAAAGCUUUCCCAGUGGAGGGUUUCAUGUGCACAGAGGCACAGAGAUGGGAUAGUUGGCUUGUCGGGGACUGGAAGUAGCUAGUACCGAAGCAGAUCAGAUCACCACAAUGAGGGACGCUAGUCCUGCUCUCUGUCUUGGCUAAAUCUCCCCCAAAUACACAUAUGCAGAGAUACUGUAACAUAACAGCAAGCCCUAGUAACACUCUGGUUAUGUGGGGUAGGGAGGAGAUGAACCCCAAAUGAAUAUUUCUCCCAAAGUCAGUUCAUGUUAUCAUUGUGGAUUGGGAGACAAAUAAAUGCCUAAGAAUAGACACAGAACAUUAAUUUUUCAUUGAUCAUAAUAUCACUUUCAUGAACAUUAAAAAUGUAGACUUUGGCAAGAAAUAAAUUUCAGAGAGAGAAAAGAGAUAUUUGGAAGGGUGUGGCAUCUCCUUUCACAUCCCCUUGAUCUUUCUGCCAGUCACUUGGGGAGAGUGGGCCUAUUAGGAUAUCAUAGUGGGAGUAGUAGAGCAUAGGGUAAUAGGGCAGAAGGCCCUGGAGGCCUCCAGACCCAGAUUAGAAUCCCAGCUCCACCCUUUUCUAGUUAUAAAGUGCCAAACACAGAGUGAGGCACAUGGUAGAAGCCCAACGUGCAGUAGUUAAAAUUGCCCAUGAAUCCUCAUUCAUCCUAUUUUUAAAAAAGGAAGCUGAGGCUAAGGAGCUUCCCACAUGCCAGCAUCCUGGGAACAAAAUGCAGUCUCCAUGUCUCCUUAGGUUCCCUCCGUCUCUCCUCCCUGCACCGUCCCCUCCCUUCCUUGCUCUUAGGGCUUGUGUUGUUACAUGCCAGGGAUGUUGAAGUGAGAAAGCUUGAACUCCAGGUCUUAUGACCCUUUUGGGAUGUCUUUUGAGGACCUCCAAAGAGACAACAAAUCAAAUGACCGCCUUGGAGACUCAUACCAGCAUAAGAUAACGUCCAGAGAAGAACAUGCAAGCCACAGGGAAUCUUGCUAAAAGAAAUGGCAAAGAAAACAAUGAGGCAUCAGGUACCCACUUUUUUUUUUAGAUUUUAUUUAUUUCUAUUUUAGAGAGAGAAAGUAUUUUAUUUUAUUUAUUUUUAUAUUAUUCACGAGCCGGGGGAGGAGCAGAGGAGGAGGGCAGAGGGAGGAGGGAAAGAAUCUCAAGCGGACUCGGCUGUGCUAAGCAUGAGCCUGACAACCCUGAGAUCAUGACCUGAGCCAAAUGCAGGAGUCUGAUACUUAACCAACUAAGCCCCCCCCCAGGUGCCCCAGUCAGGCCCACUUUUAACAAAGGGAACAAAACCAACAGGAGAAGCUAGUAAAUCAACUCUUCACUUAACCUUGAAACUGUGGUGUGAUGGAAAAGACCGGUUGGACUCUUAAGUCCAGAAUUACAGCCCAAAGUUUGUCCCUUCUUCUGUCCUGUCUUGACGUUCAGCCUAAGACUCCAUUUUAUCUUCUGUAAAAUGGGCAUGAGAAUGCCUUACAGAUUUAUUAAUGAGAUCAUUUAAUGAGAUAAUAUAAACAAAGGACAUUGAACACUAGACUAUAUUGAAUAGAUAGAUAUUCGGGGGGAACCCCUGAGGCUGUGUGUCUAUACCUUCCUCCUCUGCAGAGGGCCUCUCCAGAUUCUCCCCCAGAUUUUCUAAAGGGUCCCUAACUCCCCCCAACAAGUUUAUUUUUUAGAGACUUAAGGGUUUUAUUUUGUUUCUAUUAUAAGAUUAAAUCUAAUAUUGAAAAAAAUGGAAGCAUAGAUAAACAGAAAAUUGAAAAGGAAAAGCAAUAGUAAACAAUAGAAGCCGAAUGUAGUGGGGUUUUUUUUUUCCCAAUCUUUUUGUUGUUGUUGGAUUUUUUUUAAAUGAACUGAGUCAUCCUCUGGCUGAAUGUCUCAAAAUGAAAAUAUAAGAGGAAGAAAAAUAGAACCAAAAGCAAUAAUAAAACAGCAAAAUGAUACAGGAAGCUUUUUUUUUUCUUUAAUAAAAGAGAUACAUGCUCAUAGUAAAAAAAAAAAAAAUCAAACAGUACAGGAGGAUAGAAGGUGAAAAAUAAAUCUGUUUUUACCCUUCCAUUACCUCUCACUCCUGGUCCUAUUAGCCAGAGGUCACUGUUCUUGACAGCAAGAAACUUUUUAUUUGUUGUUUUCACAUUGCAAGUGAUUGUAUCUAUCUUUUAAAGGAGAAGAUGGAAUUUAGAAAAGCCCCAGAGGCAUCUAAUUUGCUAAAAGAUAAUGAACAUUGUAUAAAAGAAUUAAGUGCUUUCCAAGAUCCUGACAAAAUAAAAAUAUCAAUCAAAAAAACUCCCCAAAGGAAGUCCAGAUGGCCAUGCAGUUGAACUUUAUCAUGCUCAUCAGCCUAGCAAUCUCCAUGCCCUUGAAAUACCCAGGAAAACAAACAGAAAGCAACACCUGAUACAUAGAAUGAAUUCUUCAUCAAACUGACCAAAAACUGGAGCAAAUCAUACGAAGUUGUUAUCCUGUUCAGGGUCCCUGGUGAACACAGGAGCAGAGUUCCUUCUAAACCAAUCCUUUAAACAUAGACACAGAUCCAUCUGAAGUCAGAAGAUCUUACACCUACUUGUCUAUGGCAGACUAUUGGGAGGAUAGAGUAUCAUUAAUCCACAAAGUGGAUCAUCCCAAAGCAUCUGACAACGUACGCUGUAUUUCCAAAUUUUAGAAGCACCUGGAAAACAAUAGAACAUGCUGGAUUUUAUUAAAAUCACCUAUGGAAUUUGAACGGCUGGAAUAUUAAGAAAAGGGCAAAGAGUAGCUAAAAUAUCACCAAAGUCAGACGCCGGCCUAUCUGUGUCCUUUGUUAUGUAAUAGAAUAUGGAGCUGGGUUGGGGGGUGGGGCAGAGGGAAUAACUGAUUUCAUUAGGAAAAAGCUAAUGAAAAGACUCACUGUUGUUAUUUAAAGCUUGGAAUAAGAUUGGCAGGAUAGGAUGUACAGCUUCCUGUCUCAGUGUGCUCCUGAAAACCAGGCCAUAAAUAAGAUCCUUGAAAAGCAAAUCAUAUUUACCUGAUAGGAAGUAUAUUAUAAUUGAAGCUUGGUUUGCUGAUCAAGGAUUUGGCAUUCUAUUAAUCCAGUGUAGCUUUCCCUCCUCCCCCGAAGCUGUGCCAGACCCAGGGAAGUGAGAUGCCCCCACUGUCACCUGGCCCUCAGCACCCUGGAAGGAAAGAGUGAUCCUCUGCCCUUUGGGAGGAACCUCAUGAAGAGCCACACUGAGAGGCCUUCCCCAUGCUACCCCCUCUACCCAUGGUAGAAACACGAUGAAUAAUGCACACCUAUUCAUUCAACAAACCCAUAUUGCGUGCUUUGUGGGUGACUAUGGUCUCACACGUGGAAAAGGACCCAGAGAUGUGGACUAACUAUACAAUGCAGUGUGGUGUCAGAGAGUCUUUCUAGAAUAUGCUGAGACCAAAAAAAAAAAAAAAAAUGAAACACUGUAUUUCAUCGAAUUGAAGACACCAUUAUUUUAUGUAUCACCAAGAAAGGUAAAAAAAUACUGUGAAUUAUAAGAUGCCAUCAAGGGCAAGGUGCAUCCUGAUCCUGGAGAUGAAUACAAAUAUGUGUCUCAGAAUGGGUGAAAUGUGGUAAUUAACUUUUAAAGAAGUGAUAAGCGGUAUGUCUCAGCAGGAGCCAAGCCUCACCAUGGGAGCUGAGAGAAGGAAUCCAUUACUUCUGUGGGGUGACUAGGGGAGUCCUCACAGGGACAUGACAUUUGAUCUGGGUUGUGCAGGAUUUCACCAAUGGGAGGAAGAUUGGGAAAAACAUUCCAGGUUGAAGGAAUAGUAUGAACAAAGGUCUGGAGGCCGAAAAGGGCAGACAUGGUGAUGGACCCACUAAUACAUGCUGAGUAGUUCAACUACAGAAUGUGGGAGUGGGGGAGGUACAGCUGGUUGUGAAGCUGGAACCACUGAAACCACAUUGUCAGGAGCCUGGAACCCCAGUCUUGGGAGUUAGUGCCCCAUAAGACAACAGGGAGCCAUAGAAUGUUUUGAGCUGGGAGGACAUGAUUGGAGCCAAACUCUGGAGAGGCUCAUCUGGCAGGGUAAAUGAAGGGUAGAUCAAAGGGUGAGACCAGAGGUGGGGAUGCAGGUGAGACUCACAACCAGCCCUCUUGGGGGCGGGUAGAGAGAAAACCAAGGGGCUGCACAUGGAUCCCAUGGGAUGAAGUUGGAUUGUAAAAGGCUAAGGCAAGCACAAGACUAUGAGAAUAAAAGAUCUACAGUCACAUAUAACAACAUGGAUGAAUCUCACUAACUACGUAGAGUGAGAGAAGCCAGACACAAAAGAGGACAGACAGGUGAUUCUAUUUACAUCAGGAUCAAGAAAAGGCAAAAACUGAUCUAUAGUGUUAACAGUAAGGAUGCUGGUUACCCUGAGGGAAGGUAAUGACUGGCAGGGACCCCAUGGGGGCUUUCGGAUGCUGGUCAUGUUCUGCCUCUUGGUGCUGUUUACGUGGGUGUAUUCACUUUAUGAAAAUUAGUUGAGCUGUGCAUUAACAUUUGCACACUUUUCUGUAUGUAUGUCAUGGUUCAAUACAAUUGGCUCCCUUGCCCCCCCAAAUUAGGGACACAGAGAGACACUGGGAGCAGGGGUCUAAAAUGGAGGCACCUGCUGGAACACACAAGCACUCAAUGCCAGAAUGAGUCACAGACCACUCCAGAGGCUUCAUACAGUGCACUUGGAGCAAGCAUAGGUGGAUAAAGAAUGCAGCUUUUUCACCUCCAGGCCUGUGAGAGAGGCACACUGGACAUUCUGGUGGAGAAUGACCAGCAAACAGAAAUAGAGAGGUGAGCAUAAUUACGAGGGAAGGAGAGAUGAGGAUGCAUUCAAUCAGCCCACGUCUCCAGGUCCAUGAGGUACCUGUGAGGGCAGGGCGGGAAACUGCGGAUGAUAUCCAACCAGAGCCUCUAAGGAUCUUUGGGAGAUGAGUGAAUGGAAGGGCCAGGAGGUGGGGGACACAGCAGUGUUUGGGUGUCCCGAGAGGCUAAAAGGGCGAGGUCAGCCAUAUGGGAUUUGGGUGUUGACCCUCAGCGGCAUUCGAGAAGUACUGAUUUUACAAAUACUGUGUGAUUGCACAGAGAGGAGAGGGAUGGUGCCUAGGCGUGGAUGUGGGUUCACCAAGAACCAGCCAGCCACACUCACCUGUAUGUGUGGUUACUACUCUGGCAGGUCAGAGAAAUUAAGGAGACAGAGUGCAUGGGGGCUUCAGUAAGAGCUGUAGCAAGAAUUCUCUUGACAUUUUGGCAUGCAAGCUGGACAAACAUGGGCUGCGGAAAGCAGAGGUUGGGGGAAAGCUUCAUUGGUCUGGUCACAUGACCAUAGGGGGCCGAUGGCUGCUAGCGUGGGCAGUCCCAAAGCUCUUUGACACUCUCCUAUUUCACACUUGGACCGAUGCUUUAGCUUAGGAAAGCAAAUGAGAUUGUCCAAUAGCAAUGGCACCAACUGAGGAGAUGGCGAAUAUGCUAGAAAAGAGACCCAUGAUGCAAGAUGCCCUCAGUAGGCUGGAACAUGGGGACGUAAUCACGGGUGAAAUGUUUCAGCCCUGUUCCGAGAUGCCUGAAUUACACUGCUGGUAAAUAGGAUCAGAGAGACCUGGCUCGCUGCUCCCUUGAAACAGACAGCAACAAGUCCACAGAGAGCAAACCUAGGGCUCUCGGAGAGCCACAAGCUUUCUAUGAGCCACAGGGUGAUGUGGCUGCCACCAAAUGCCAGCACAGCAUCCCGGCGGCCUGAGCACAGAGGGGUGGGCCUGCUAUUCCACGUGCCUCUUCGUCUGUAUGGAGGGCUUGUGGUCAGUUCUGGACAUCACCCUUGAAGAAAGCCAGGAGCAGACUACUGGCCAGGGAAAGUUGAGGAACCUGGGCGCAUUUCUCCUGAGGAAGAGGUGACUUAGUUGGGGGUGGAAUGUGGCGUUGUUUGUGAGCUGUCCUUGGUGAAGGGCACCACGGGUGAGGGAGAGCACCACGGACCCCGGUGGCAGAUUGGGAUCCAGAGUGGAUGCGACAGGAAGACUGACUUUGGUGGAGCCUCAGAAAUCAUGCACAAAACCCCCAUCGACCAAAUAAUGGAGUGGGAGCCUCAGGAGGCACUGAUCUUAACAUUUCUGGUGGUAUUAUUACUACUAUUAUUAUUAGUCGCAUGCCUAAUAAGAGUUUAGUACUGCGGUAAGUGCUUUAUAUGCAUAUAUGCAUUAUUUUACUUACCAAGGGGGUUAAAGAUGUGAAAAUUGCUUAGAACAGUGCCUGGCACAUGUGAGUACUCAAAAUACACUAGCUGUUGUAAUUAUUUAAUCCUCAUGAUAAACUUGAUAUGAAAGAGGAAUUGUUUAUUCCCACUUUACAGGUGAGGAAACUGAAGGUCAGGAGAGUAAGUGACUCCCCCAGAAUUGAGUCACUAAUAACUGGUGAGCCAGACUUUGAGUCCAGGACCGCCUGCUUCCUACGGUUUGGUGAGGGGUUGGACCAGAGAUUUUGCCGUCUGUCCAAGGUUCUGUUCCUAAACUGUGCCCCUUCCUAAAGCAUCUUCUUGUUUGUGAAACCUGUAGAUGAGAGGGGGUUUUGGCAUCCUUGCCAGUAUGUGUCCUUUUGGACACCACUCGGGUUUAAGCUAAAUUUCCUGCCUGUGUCUGCCCAGGGCUUGUCCAGCCGACACCGAGCAAGGUGACUCCCCCAUCCUUCCACUGUUCUCAAACCGACAAAGAGCACGGGUGGAAGGAGACGCUCCAGGCUCUUCUGGUCUACCCCGGGCUCGGCAUUGACUCCGGAAGGGUUCAGUCAUAGA